ACGGCUCAAAGGGUGGUUAAAAACAAACGCAAUAGAAUUAAAAGUUGAUUAAACUGUUUUACGUAAUAUCAACCAUAAACUCAAUGACGAAAGUAAUUCUAGAUAAUGACUCCACGAAAAUUAGGUUACAAACUAGGAUUAGAUACCCUACUAUGCCUAGUUGUAAACUUUGAAGCAUCCGCCUGAGAACUACGAGCCAUAGCUUAAAACUCAAAGGACUUGGCGGUGCUCUAUACCCACCUAGAGGAGCCUGUUCUAUAAUCGACAAUACCCGAUAAACCUCACCAUUUAUUGCCAAUACCGCCUAUAUACCGCCGUCGUCAGCUUACCCUUAAGGGAUAAAACAGUAAGCACAAUAAUAAACAUUAAAACGUCAGGUCAAGGUGUAGCGUAUUAAAUGGGAAGAAAUUGGCUACAUUUUCUACUAGAAAAUACGAAAUAUUUAAUGAAAUUAAAUAUGAAGGCGGAUUUAGCAGUAAAAAGAAAACAGAGAGUUCUUUUUAAUUCGGUCCUGGAGCGCGCACACACCGCCCGUCACCCUCCUCAAACACUCAAUAAUGUUACAUAAAUAAAAUUAAUAAAUAAGAAGAGGUAAGUCGUAACAUGGUAAGUGUACCGGAAGGUGUACUUGGUAU
rnacentral:rRNA from 1 species